GUGCUUGUAUGUUUACAGAGACUGUGGCCACCUGAGAGAUUUCACCGCAAGAAUAAGGAUUAAUACAGAGUGUCUAGCAUUCACAUGUGAGGGUGGAAAAUUGCUGUCUCCCUUUCCUGUGAUAAAGCUGUUGCCUGUGUGCUGGGAAAGUGAAAUCCAUCAUGCGACGGAGAGGGUUUAUUCCACCAUUCCGCCCCAUUGAGGCCCGUAACACGAACUUUGCCACUCCACUAUAAACCACAGGCUGUGUCUGCCAGUGUGAAGCGAACACCAUGUUCUGUGUACAAGAACAAGAAGUCUGUGCCAUGUAUCGCUCAAGAACAUUCCCCUUAUUCCAACAAAGUUCACACUACCCUCUGCCAAAUGGCCAGCCAGCCUCUUCACAGGUCCUCCAAAACCUUCUCCACAACACCUGUGAUAAAAGAGAUGUGUCUAUAGCUCCAA